UCAAAGAUUAAGCCCUGCAGGUCUCAGUGCAAGCCGAAUUAAGGUGAAACCGCGAAAAGCUCAUUAAAUCAGCUAUGGUUCCUUAGAUGGUACGUACAGUUACUUGGAUAACUGUGGCAAUUCUAGAGCUAAUACAUGCAAACCGAGUUCCGACCGCUUAGCAGGCGGAAGGAAUGCUUUUAUUAGAUCAAAACCAAUCGAACUCUACACGUAUGGGUUCGUUUAAGUCUUGGUGACUCUGAAUAACUUUGUGCUGAUCGCACGGUCCCGCACCGGCGACGCAUCUUUCAAAUGUCUGACUUAUCAACUUUCGAUGGUAAGCUCUGCGCCUACCAUGGUCGUAACGGGUAACGGGGAAUCAGGGUUCGAUUCCGGAGAGGGAGCCUGAGAAACGGCUACCACAUCCAAGGAAGGCAGCAGGCGCGCAAAUUACCCACUCCCGGCACGGGGAGGUAGUGACGAAAAAU
rnacentral:rRNA from 1 species